rnacentral:rRNA from 1 species
GACAGAGGCCCCAAGCGUUAGGCGGAAUCACUGGGCUUAAAGCGUGUGUAGGCGGAUCGUUAAGUGUCUUGUGAAGUCCCACGGCUCACCCGUGGAACUGCUGGGCAUACUGGCGAUCUUGGGCCAACUAGGGGCAGCCGGAACAAGCGGUGGAGCGGUGAAAUGCGUAGAUAUCAUUUGGAACGCCAAUGGUGAAAACAGGUAGCUGGGGGUGUGCUGACGCUGAGACACGAAAGCCAGGGGAGCAAACGGG